UUGGAGGGCAAGUCUGGUGCCAGCAGCCGCGGUAAUUCCAGCUCCAAUAGCGUAUAUUAAAGUUGUUGCAGUUAAAAAGCUCGUAGUUGAAUUUCGGGGUCAGUAGGUUGGUCAUGCCACUGGUAUGUACUGGCCUCACUGAUUCCUCUUUCCUGAUGAGCCGUAAUGCCAUUAAUUUGGUGUUGCGAGGAAUCUGGACUGUUACUUUGAGAAAAUUAGAGUGUUUAAAGCAGGCUAACGCUUGAAUACAUUAGCAUGGAAUAAUGAAAUAAGACGUUCGAUUUUAUUUUGUUGGUUUCUAAGAUUGACGUAAUGAUUAAUAGGGAUAGUUGGGGGCAUUAGUAUUCAAUUGUCAGGGGUGAAAUUCUUGGAUUUAUUGAAGACUAACUACUGCGAAAGCAUUUGCCAAGGAUGUUUUCAUUAAUCAAGAACGAAAGUUAGGGGAUCGAAGACGAUCAGAUACCGUCGUAGUCUUAACCAUAAACUAUGCCGACUAGGGAUCGGAUGAUGUUAAUUUUUUAAAGACUCAUUCGGCGCCUUACGGGAAAC
rnacentral:rRNA from 1 species